rnacentral:rRNA from 1 species
GACCAUCUAGCGACCUCCACCAGUACCGUGAGGGAAAGGUGAAAAGAACCCCGGAAGGGGAGUGAAAAGCACUUGAAACCGUAUGCUUACAAGUAGUCAGAGCCCGUUAAUGGGUGAUGGCGUACCUUUUGUAGAAUGGACCGGCGAGUGACGAUUUCAUGCAAGGUUAAUCUGAAGAAGAGGAGCCGCAGCGAAAGCGAGUCUGAAUAGGGCGUGCAGUAUGAGGUCGUCGACCCGAAACCAGGUGACCUACCCAUGUGCAGGGUGAAGGUGCGGUGAAACGCACUGGAGGCCCGAACCCACGUAUGUUGAAAAAUGCGGGGAUGACGUGUGGGUAGCGGUGAAAUUCCAAUCGAACCUGGAGAUAGCUGGUUCUCUCCGAAAUAGCUUUAGGGCUAGCCUCGGAUGAUGCAUCGUGGAGGUAGAGCGACUGUUUGGACGAGGGCCCCUUGCGGGGUACCGAAUCCUGAUAAACUCCGAAUGCCACAGAUGUUAAUCCGGGAGUCACACUGCGAGUGAUAAGAUCCGUAGUGGAAAGGGAAACAACCCAGACCGUCGGCUAAGGUCCCCAAAUCCUUGUUAAGUGGAAAAGGAUGUGGGGCUGCUUAGACAACUAGGAUGUUGGCUUAGAAGCAGCCAUCAUUUAAAGAGUGCGUAAUAGCUCACUAGUCGAGUGGCCCUGCGCCGAAAAUUUACCGGGGCUAAACAAGGUACCGAAGCCACGGAUAGAACCUUUGGUUCUAUGGUAGGAGAGCGUUCUAAUCAGCAUAGAAGCCUGACUGUGAAGACAGGUGGAGCGAUUAGAAGUGAGAAUGCCGGUAUGAGUAGCGAAAGACAGGUGAGAAUCCUGUCCACCGAAUGACUAAGGUUUCCUGGGGAAGGCUCGUCCUCCCAGGGUUAGUCGGGACCUAAGCUGAGGCCGAACGGCGUAGGCGAUGGUCAACAGGUUGAUAUUCCUGUACCAGUUUCUUUUGUUUGACCGAUGGAGGGACGCAGCAGGCUAAGAUAUGCCCACUGAUGGAUGUGGGUGCAAAUAAUAAGUCUGGCGAUGAGUCAAAUGCUUAUCGCUAAGGACAAGUUAUGACGCGGAGGGAAGUACAGUACCGAAGUAUCUGACGUCACACUGCCAAGAAAAGCUUCUAGGGAGAAAGCAACUGCCCGUACCGCAAACCGACACAGGUAGUCGAGAUGAGAAUUCUAAGGUGAGCGAGCGAACUCUCGUUAAGGAACUCGGCAAAAUGACCCCGUAACUUCGGGAGAAGGGGAGCCCCACCGGGUUUUGCUUGGUGGGGCCGCAGAGAAUAGAGGGGUCCGACUGUUUAUCAAAAACACAGGUCCAUGCGAAGACGUUAAGUUGAUGUAUAUGGACUGACGCCUGCCCGGUGCUGGAAGGUUAAGAGGACCUGUUAGAUCUUUUGGGUCGAAGCGGAGAAUUUAAGCCCCAGUAAACGGCGGUGGUAACUAUAACCAUCCUAAGGUAGCGAAAUUCCUUGUCGGGUAAGUUCCGACCUGCACGAAUGGCGUAACGAGACCCCUGCUGUCUCAACCACAGGCCCGGUGAAAUUGCAGUACGAGUAAAGAUGCUCGUUACGCGCGGCAGGACGAAAAGACCCCGGGACCUUCACUAUAGCUUGGUAUUGGUGUUUGGUUCGGUUUGUGUAGGAUAGGUGGGAGACUGUGAAACCGUCACGCUAGUGGUGGUGGAGUCGUUGUUGAAAUACCAUUCUGAUCGGAUUGAGCAUCUAACCUUGGCCCAUGAUCUGGGUUGGGGACAGUGCCUGGUGGGUAGUUUAACUGGGGCGGUUGCCUCCCAAAAUGUAACGGAGGCGCCCAAAGGUUCCCUCAGCCUGGUUGGCAAUCAGGUGUAAGAGUGUAAGUGCACAAGGGAGCUUGACUGUGAGACGUACAUGUCGAGCAGGGACGAAAGUCGGGACUAGUGAUCCGGCACCAACGUGUGGAAGUGGUGUCGCUCAACGGAUAAAAGGUACCCCGGGGAUAACAGGCUGAUCUUNCCCNAGNGNNCAUANCGACGGNAUGGUUUGGCACCUCGAUGUCGGCUCGUCGCAUCCUGGGGCUGGAGUAGGUCCCAAGGGUUGGGCUGUUCGCCCAUUAAAGCGGNACGCGAGCUGGGUUCAGAACGUCGUGAGACAGUUCGGUCCCUAUCCNCUGCGCGCGNNGGAANNUUGAGAAGGNCUGUCNUUAGUACGAGAGGACCGNGACGGACNNACCUCUGGUNUGNCAGUUGUNCNGCCANGNGCAUGGCUGNUUNGCUACGUUCGGGNUGUGAUAACCGCUGAAAGCAUCUAAGCGGGAAGCCGGCUUCGAGAUGAGAUUUCCUUGCCCCUUUGAGGGUGUGAGGCCCCCAGCUAGAACACUGGGUUGAUAGGCUGGAUGUGGAAGCGAGGACUGAAGACUCGUGAAGCUGACCAGUACCAAUAGGCCGAUGACUUACACAC